GAUCCUGGCUCAGGAUGAACGCUAGCUACAGGCUUAACACAUGCAAGUCGAGGGGUAGCAUCAUCAAAGCUUGCUUUGAUGGAUGGCGACCGGCGCACGGGUGAGUAACACGUAUCCAACCUGCCGACAACACUGGGAUAGCCUUUCGAAAGAAAGAUUAAUACCGGAUGGUAUAGUUUUCCCGCAUGGGAUGAUUAUUAAAGAAUUUCGGUUGUCGAGUGGGGAUGCGUUCCAUUAGG
rnacentral:rRNA from 1 species